GGAUUAUUGGGCGUAAGCGCGCGCAGGUGGUUUCUUAAGUCUGAUGUGAAAGCCCACGCCUCAACCGUGGAGGGUCAUUGGAAACUGGGAGACUUGAGUGCAGAAGAGGAAAGUGGAAUUCCAUGUGUAGCGGUGAAAUGCGUAGAGAUAUGGAGGAACACCAGUGGCGAAGGCGACUCUCUGGUCUGUAACUGACACUGAGGCGCGAAAGCGUGGGGAGCAAACAGGAUUAGAUACCCUGGUACUCCACGCCGUAUACGAUGAGUGCUAAGUGUUAGAGGGUUUCCGCCCUUUAGUGCUGAAGUAAACGC
rnacentral:rRNA from 1 species